rnacentral:piRNA from 1 species
UGGUCAUGGAAUUUAGUGUCAUCCUAAUUG